rnacentral:rRNA from 1 species
UAGGGAAUAUUGGACAAUGGGGGCAACCCUGAUCCAGCCAUGCCGCGUGAGUGAAGAAGGCCCUCGGGUUGUAAAGCUCUUUUGUCCGGAAAGAAAAGCUUCGGGUUAAUACCCCGGGGUUCUGACGGUACCGGAAGAAUAAGCACCGGCUAACUUCGUGCCAGCAGCCGCGGUAAUACGAAGGGUGCAAGCGUUACUCGGAAUUACUGGGCGUAAAGCGUGCGUAGGUGGUUGUUUAAGUCUGAUGUGAAAGCCCUGGGCUCAACCGGGGAAUGGCAUUGGAAACUGGGCAUCUAGAGUGCGGUAGAGGGUAGUGGAAUUCCCGGUGUAGCAGUGAAAUGCGUAGAGAUCGGGAGGAACAUCUGUGGCGAAGGCGACUGCCUGGACCAGCACUGACACUGAGGCACGAAAGCGUGGGGAGCAAACA